rnacentral:lncRNA from 1 species
AGGUGCAAAAAGGAAAGAUUGCAGUUUAUCUUGAAAGGUCUCCUCAUAAAUUAAGACUCUUUAGGCUGCAACUAAUUGCAACCACCAGAGUCAUUUGGUUGAACAAAUGAUUAUUUACGAUGAGGGCUUUCUCUUGGAAUCCAAGAGUGGCUGACUCUGGGUGUAAAGGACAAAUUGGAACCAGACACCUGGAUGUGAUCAAGGCUUCCUCAGUGCCCCCUCAUUCUUACUUGGGUUUUUGUUUUGUUUUGUUUUCUGCAUCUUGGUCCACAAGAUGGAAAAUAGGGUGACCAGCAGUUGCAGAGCUUGUCCUGUCAUCUAGAGAGUGACUCAAGUGACACAAUUGCAAAUUCCUGAGGAAGAGAUUUUGGCCAGGCUACUGGCCAUCCAGGAGGUCAGUCGUAUGCCACAUCGUAUGCCAGUCACACCAAGACCAUGUGGAUGGAGGGAUGCAUUAUGGACAUUCACAUAAAGGUGGUGAGCCGGGAGACCAUCCAAUAGGUGGCCGUUCAAAUCCCAGGAUUUAUUUUAUGUGUGUCUGCUUUUUUACAAGUACUUCUUUGCCUUCCAUGUAAAUAAAGAAAUGGUGUUUUUGAUGACCAGGGAACUUUCAGUUCCUCAGAAUCAUUAUUGAGAACAUCAACUCUCCUUUAUUGACCUACAGAUGUGUCACAUGGAGGGGCACUGCUGACUGUGCUGGUCAUCUCUGAAAAUCAUUUUCCCCAAGUAACACGAGAGGAGUUUGCCCUUUUUAAAAUGAUUUGUUUCUUUCUCCUAAAAUUUGAGUGUGAAGGGAAAUGUGGUCAAUUAACAAUACACAUUUUUGGAAACUGGUUAUUUGAAGCUCCACUGUGCCAGAUUUCAGUUGUUUUCAGCUCUUACAUCCUCCAUAUUUAAUGCUAUCGUUUUUGAAAACGGAUUGACUUCAGAAGUAUUUUUCUCUUGCUUUGGAGAUUUUGCACAUUGGCCCAAACAGGUUUUUAUUUUCCAUUUUAAUUUAUACAGUAUAAAUACGAUGUUGGACUUCUUUGGAGUUAACAGUUUCACUGUGCAGAUGUUUCUUGAAAGCCUUUUCAAUUCAUAGUGUUGGUUUAAAAAAAAAUUUUUUUUUAUUAGCCUGGCUGCCUGCCAGAAAAAAAAAAAAAAAAAA